AGAGUUUGAUCCUGGCUCAGGACGAACGCUGGCGGCGUGCUUAACACAUGCAAGUCGAACGGAAAGGCCCUUCGGGGUGCUCGAGUGGCGAACGGGUGAGUAACACGUGGGUGAUCUGCCCUGCACUUUGGGAUAAGCCUGGGAAACUGGGUCUAAUACCGAAUACACCUUGCUGGUUGCAUGACUGGUGGGGGAAAGCUUUUGCGGUGUGGGAUGGGCCCGCGGCCUAUCAGCUUGUUGGUGGGGUGAUGGCCUACCAAGGCGACGACGGGUAGCCGGCCUGAGAGGGUGUCCGGCCACACUGGGACUGAGAUACGGCCCAGACUCCUACGGGAGGCAGCAGUGGGGAAUAUUGCACAAUGGGCGCAAGCCUGAUGCAGCGACGCCGCGUGAGGGAUGACGGCCUUCGGGUUGUAAACCUCUUUCACUAGGGACGAAGCGCAAGUGACGGUACCUGGAGAAGAAGCACCGGCCAACUACGUGCCAGCAGCCGCGGUAAUACGUAGGGUGCGAGCGUUGUCCGGAAUUACUGGGCGUAAAGAGCUCGUAGGUGGUUUGUCGCGUUGUUCGUGAAAACUCACAGCUCAACUGUGGGCGUGCGGGCGAUACGGGCAGACUGGAGUACUGCAGGGGAGACUGGAAUUCCUGGUGUAGCAGUGGAAUGCGCAGAUAUCAGGAGGAACACCGGUGGCGAAGGCGGGUCUCUGGGCAGUAACUGACGCUGAGGAGCGAAAGCGUGGGGAGCGAACAGGAUUAGAUACCCUAGUAGUCC
rnacentral:rRNA from 1 species